rnacentral:rRNA from 1 species
GUUAAGCGACUAAGCGUACACGGUGGAUGCCCUGGCAGUCAGAGGCGAUGAAGGACGUGCUAAUCUGCGAUAAGCGUCGGUAAGGUGAUAUGAACCGUUAUAACCGGCGAUUUCCGAAUGGGGAAACCCAGUGUGUUUCGACACACUAUCAUUAACUGAAUCCAUAGGUUAAUGAGGCGAACCGGGGGAACUGAAACAUCUAAGUACCCCGAGGAAAAGAAAUCAACCGAGAUUCCCCCAGUAGCGGCGAGCGAACGGGGAGCAGCCCAGAGCCUGAAUCAGUGUGUGUGUUAGUGGAAGCGUCUGGAAAGGCGCGCGAUACAGGGUGACAGCCCCGUACACAAAAAUGCACAUGCUGUGAGCUCGAUGAGUAGGGCGGGACACGUGGUAUCCUGUCUGAAUAUGGGGGGACCAUCCUCCAAGGCUAAAUACUCCUGACUGACCGAUAGUGAACCAGUACCGUGAGGGAAAGGCGAAAAGAACCCCGGCGAGGGGAGUGAAAAAGAACCUGAAACCGUGUACGUACAAGCAGUGGGAGCACGCUUAGGCGUGUGACUGCGUACCUUUUGUAUAAUGGGUCAGCGACUUAUAUUCUGUAGCAAGGUUAACCGAAUAGGGGAGCCGAAGGGAAACCGAGUCUUAACUGGGCGUUAAGUUGCAGGGUAUAGACCCGAAACCCGGUGAUCUAGCCAUGGGCAGGUUGAAGGUUGGGUAACACUAACUGGAGGACCGAACCGACUAAUGUUGAAAAAUUAGCGGAUGACUUGUGGCUGGGGGUGAAAGGCCAAUCAAACCGGGAGAUAGCUGGUUCUCCCCGAAAGCUAUUUAGGUAGCGCCUCGUGAAUUCAUCUCCGGGGGUAGAGCACUGUUUCGGCAAGGGGGUCAUCCCGACUUACCAACCCGAUGCAAACUGCGAAUACCGGAGAAUGUUAUCACGGGAGACACACGGCGGGUGCUAACGUCCGUCGUGAAGAGGGAAACAACCCAGACCGCCAGCUAAGGUCCCAAAGUCAUGGUUAAGUGGGAAACGAUGUGGGAAGGCCCAGACAGCCAGGAUGUUGGCUUAGAAGCAGCCAUCAUUUAAAGAAAGCGUAAUAGCUCACUGGUCGAGUCGGCCUGCGCGGAAGAUGUAACGGGGCUAAACCAUGCACCGAAGCUGCGGCAGCGACGCUGAUGCGUUGUUGGGUAGGGGAGCGUUCUGUAAGCCUGCGAAGGUGUGCUGUGAGGCAUGCUGGAGGUAUCAGAAGUGCGAAUGCUGACAUAAGUAACGAUAAAGCGGGUGAAAAGCCCGCUCGCCGGAAGACCAAGGGUUCCUGUCCAACGUUAAUCGGGGCAGGGUGAGUCGACCCCUAAGGCGAGGCCGAAAGGCGUAGUCGAUGGGAAACAGGUUAAUAUUCCUGUACUUGGUGUUACUGCGAAGGGGGGACGGAGAAGGCUAUGUUGGCCGGGCGACGGUUGUCCCGGUUUAAGCGUGUAGGCUGGUUUUCCAGGCAAAUCCGGAAAAUCAAGGCUGAGGCGUGAUGACGAGGCACUACGGUGCUGAAGCAACAAAUGCCCUGCUUCCAGGAAAAGCCUCUAAGCAUCAGGUAACAUCAAAUCGUACCCCAAACCGACACAGGUGGUCAGGUAGAGAAUACCAAGGCGCUUGAGAGAACUCGGGUGAAGGAACUAGGCAAAAUGGUGCCGUAACUUCGGGAGAAGGCACGCUGAUAUGUAGGUGAAGCGACUUGCUC